rnacentral:rRNA from 1 species
GACGAACGCUGGCGGCGUGCCUAACACAUGCAAGUCGCACGGGACCGGGGGCAACUCCGGUUCAGUGGCAGACGGGUGCGUAACACGUGAGGAACCUGUCCAACGGCGGGGGAUAGCCGGCCUAACGGCCGGGUAAUACCGCGUACGAUCGUCCGGGGGCAUCCCUGGGCGAUGAAAGCAGCCGCAAGGUUGCGCCGAUGGAGGGCCUCGCGGCCUAUCAGCUAGUUGGCGGGGUAACGGCCCACCAAGGCGACGACGGGUAGCUGGUCUGAGAGGAUGGCCAGCCACAGUUGGGACUGAGACCACGGCCCAGACUCCGUACGGGAGGCAGCAGGUGGGGAAUAUUGCGCAAUGGCCGNAAGGCUGACGCAGCGACGCCGCGUGUGGGAUGACGGCCUGGU